UUUUCAUGAAUGGGGACGGUUUUAUCUUCUGUACAACCGCAACAACAAUUUUGCCAGAGUACCUACCACCUAAAUUUUCUCCACCAUUGUAAAUGGCAGCCCACAGCUGAUUUGACCAUAUGAUAAAAAAAACAGCUGUGUUCGGGAACUCAAAAACUUGCACAAAUUUUUACUGGAAGUCGUUUGCGUACUUUAUUUGCCAGCAGAAGAGAGAGAGAGAGAGAGCAAAUUUUGAUAGUGACGACAAUAAAGACUUUUUUGCCAGCAGAAAUUUGCAAAAGCUAAUACCAAAAUAGAUCAAAAAGGCAGAGAUUCAAGGCAACAGUUAGUGUUCAGGUACAGAAAACUCGCCAAAUGAAGUUGUAAUUUUGCUUCAAGUCGAUUGUUCUACAGCAGCAGACACCAAGAAAAGAGCAACGAUCGGUUUCUUAAGUGUUUUGAUGGAAUCAUCCUCAUCAGAGAGCUGAGCCGAUGAAACCAACACCGUUCCUUUGAAUUCGUUAAGGAGGGAAUUUGCUGCCAUGGUAUUUAGUGGGUCUGACUGGUCAAUUAAAAGUUAAAAUUGGAAAAAAUUGCAAUUAAAAGUUAAAAUUGGAAAGUGCAAAUCAGUCUUCUAAUUGUAAACGGAUACGGAUAUCUUCAAUGAUAACACAGUGUCCGUAUUCGCCACAUGACCAAAUAGAAAGCUCCCUUAGCUUCACAUUAGUGGUCGCAGCAAUUUAUGUAGCCACAAUAUCCAGAAGCAUUAGGUGGUUGCUUUGUCAGCACACCAAGUGCUGCCGACAAGGGAUUUGAGAACGUUGUUUCUACUUUUGUGUACGGUGAUGGCAUGUAAAGCAGUUGAAAUCCUAUGCAGACUUCGAAAUGCAUACUGAUACUCGCGGUUGGAAAUUGUCCAACGGGAGGAUCGGAAGGAGUAG